UGGGGAAUAUUGCACAAUGGGCGCAAGCCUGAUGCAGCCAUGCCGCGUGUGUGAAGAAGGCCUUCGGGUUGUAAAGCACUUUCAGCGGGGAGGAAGGCGAUAAGGUUAAUAACCUUGUCGAUUGACGUUACCCGCAGAAGAAGCACCGGCUAACUCCGUGCCAGCAGCCGCGGUAAUACGGAGGGUGCAAGCGUUAAUCGGAAUUACUGGGCGUAAAGCGCACGCAGGCGGUUUGUUAAGUCAGAUGUGAAAUCCUCGGGCUCAACCUGGGAACUGCAUCUGAUACUGGCAAGCUUGAGUCUCGUAGAGGGGGGUAGAAUUCCAGGUGUGGCGGUGAAAUGCGUAGAGAUCUGGAGGAAUACCGGUGGCGAAGGCGGCCCCCUGGACGAAGACUGACGCUCAGGUGCGAAAGCGUGGGGAGCAAACAGG
rnacentral:rRNA from 1 species